UAGGGUUUGAUUAUGGUUCAGAAUGAACGCUGUCGGCACGCUUAACACAUGCAAGUCGAACGAGAUCUUCGGAUCUAUUGGCAGACGGGUGAGUAACGAGUGGGAACCUACCCUUUAGUAGAGAAUAACUCGGGGAAGCAAGAGGUAAUAAUUUAUACGCCCUUCGGGGGAAAGAAAGAUGCGUUAUUGGAUGGGCCCGUGUUAGAUUAGUUUGUUGGUGAGGUAAUGGCUCACCAAGGCUACGAUCUAUAGCUGGUCUGAGAGGAUGUUCUGCCACACUGGGAUUGAGACACGGCCCAGACUCUUAUGGGGGACAGCAGAGGGGAAAAUUGUACAAAAGGGGCAAACCCGAUACAGAGACAUCGCGUGAGUGAGAAAGGCCCUAGGGUUGUAAAAAUCAUUUUUCAGGGAAGAUAAAUACGGUACCUGAAGAAUAAGAUCCGGCUAACUCCGUGCCAGCCGCCGCGGUAAUACAA
rnacentral:rRNA from 1 species